rnacentral:ncRNA from 2 species
UAAUGAUAUGUUUAUAUAGGAAUGUAUCGAUGUUGAUUUUGCAGGAAACGGAAGGCAGUGAAAAUCUGCCGCAGACGCGCUGCUGUAACCGGAAAUUUAGAAAAAAGUCAUGUGGUGCAGGUUCACUGGGAAGCCGGGAAGGAGCUGUACCGUGCGUCAUAUAAGACCGGAAGCCAGAAGACGUCCUGCAAUAAUGCGCAUUG